CGGAGGCAGCAGUGGGGAAUCUUGCGCAAUGGGCGAAAGCCUGACGCAGCAACGCCGCGUGUGUGAUGAAGGUCUUCGGAUCGUAAAGCACUGUCGCGAGGGACGAAUAAGGGCCGGGAUAAUACCCCGGUCCGAUGACGGUACCUCGAGAGGAAGCACCGGCUAACUCUGUGCCAGCAGCCGCGGUAAUACAGAGGGUGCAAGCGUUGUUCGGAAUUAUUGGGCGUAAAGCGCGUGUAGGCGGCCCGGCAAGUCAGGUGUGAAAGCCCUCGGCUUAACCGAGGAAGUGCGCCUGAAACUAUCGGGCUUGAGUACCGGAGAGGGCGGCGGAAUUCCCGGUGUAGAGGUGAAAUUCGUAGAUAUCGGGAGGAACACCAGCGGCGAAGGCGGCCGCCUGGACGGUCACUGACGCUGAGACGCGAAAGCGUGGGGAGCAAACAGGAUUAGAUACCCCGGU
rnacentral:rRNA from 1 species